rnacentral:rRNA from 1 species
GACGAACGCUGGCGGCGUGCUUAACACAUGCAAGUCGAACGGAAAGGCCCUGCUUUUGUGGGGUGCUCGAGUGGCGAACGGGUGAGUAACACGUGAGUAACCUGCCCUUGACUUUGGGAUAACUUCAGGAAACUGGGGCUAAUACCGGAUAGGAGCUCCUGCUGCAUGGUGGGGGUUGGAAAGUUUCGGCGGUUGGGGAUGGACUCGCGGCUUAUCAGCUUGUUGGUGGGGUAGUGGCUUACCAAGGCUUUGACGGGUAGCCUGCCUGAGAGGGUGACCGGCCACAUUGGGACUGAGAUACGGACCAGACUCCUACGGGAGGCAGCAGUGGGGAAUAUUGCACAAUGGGCGGAAGCCUGAUGCAGCAACGCCGCGUGCGGGAUGACGGCCUUCGGGUUGUAAACCGCUUUCGCCUGUGACGAAGCGUGAGUGACGGUAAUGGGUAAAGAAGCACCGGCUAACUACGUG